AUACGGAGGGUGCAAGCGUUGUUCGGAAUUAUUGGGCGUAAAGCGCGUGUAGGCGGCUUGGUAAGUCAGGUGUGAAAGCCCUUAGCUCAACUAAGGAAAGUCAUCUGAAACUGCCAGGCUUGAGUACGGGAGAGGAGAGUGGAAUUCCCGGUGUAGAGGUGAAAUUCGUAGAGAUCGGGAGGAACACCCGUGGCGAAGGCGACUCUCUGGACCGAUACUGACGCUGAGACGCGAAAGCGUGGGGAGCAAACAGGAUUAGAAACCCGGGUAGUCC
rnacentral:rRNA from 1 species